rnacentral:rRNA from 1 species
UACACACCGCCCGUCACACCACGAAAGUUGGCAAUACCCGAAGCCGGUGGGCUAACCUCGCAAGAGGAGGCAGCCGUCGAAGGUAGGGUCGAUGAUUGGGGUG